rnacentral:rRNA from 1 species
UCCAUGAAGCUGGAUUCGCUAGUAAUCGCGCAUCAGCCAUGGCGCGGUGGAAUACGUUCCCGGGGCCUUGUACACACCGCCCGUCAAGCCAUGGAAGCCGGGGGUGCCUGAAGUGCGUGACCGCAAGGAGCGCCCUAAGGUAAAACCGGUGACUGGGGCUAAGUCGUAACAAGGUACC